rnacentral:rRNA from 1 species
AAACCUACGGGAGGCAGCAGUGAGGAAUAUUGGUCAAUGGCCGAGAGGCUGAACCAGCCAAGUCGCGUGAGGGAAGAAUGUCCUAUGGAUUGUAAACCUCUUUUGUCAGGGAGCAAAGUCACCCACGUGUGGGUGUUGGAGAGUACCUGAAGAAAAAGCAUCGGCUAACUCCGUGCCAGCAGCCGCGGUAAUACGGAGGAUGCGAGCGUUAUCCGGAUUUACUGGGUGUAAAGGGAGCGCAGGCGGCGCGCCAAGUCUGGUGUGAAACCCCGGGGCUCAACCCCGGGACUGCAUUGGAAACUGGC